CCACCACCAUCUUGGGAGCUCUGGGAGCAAGGACCACCUGGUAACAAUAGGCCAAAUACUGUGCUGAUAAGUUAUUGCUCAAUGUUCAGACUCUUGCUUCAAGAUCAACUGAAGUGCUUUCUUGAAAGCCUGCCCUGAAUCCUCAUCUAUUGAUGGAGAUGGUGUCAUCUUGCCUUGAUUGUAUCCAGAAGCUUCAUCCCCAAGAUAAAGGAUGGACAUCUCUCCGAUGACCAGCUUCUUUUGCUCGACUCUAGAGAAGGUUGCUUUCUGCAUUCUGGCAACUGCCCUCUGUCUACAUGAUUAGACUCGUUGGUUGCAGUGCUUUCUGGAGUAAUGAAGGGAUCCAGUGCACAGGGUUUAACUUACUGGGCACAAUCUCUAAGCCAACUCUGCCUGAAUGGGUCCCCUGUUUUUUCUCUUCUGCUCUUGUUGAACCAUAUCUCUGUUCCUUGUGCUCCUGGGAAUUUCUUGCUCUGUAAGGGUAAAUAAGAACAUGCUAACCAAAUAAUCAAAACAAAUGGUCAUGAAAAAAAUGGAAACUCUCUCAAGGAAUAACAAUCAGAGCUGUCUGGUUGACAAGGGACAUUAUGGUUGCAAGAAGACCCUGAAGCAAGGAUUCUACAUCAAAGAUUCAGGGGCAAUCUGAGUUUGCAUUUAAGAUCCUUCUGCCUAUAGCAGUAGCUUAUAUGUUAUGUUCAAUUGACGUAUAAGCACUGUGAAGAAAUAUUCUAUUACAACCUCUUAUGACAUUAGCAUUGUAUAUUUCAGAAUGUAAUUGUAGACAGAAAGUUGGUAUAUUUAAUUCAAAUUAUGAUUAUUCUUUAAAAACAAAACUUGAAAAUUCAGUUUAUCUACAUAAUUGGCUUAAGUAUUUGUUGCAUGCCUAUUCCAUACCAAGCAAUGAGCAAGGUGUUA
rnacentral:lncRNA from 1 species